AACGAACGCUGGCGGCGGGGUUUAGGCAUGCAAGUCGAGCGAGAAAGGGGAAACCCGAGUAAAGCGGCGUAAGGGUGAGUAAUAGGUAGUUCACGUAUCCUCCAGAUGCGGAUAAUUCCCCGAAAGGGGUUGUAAUACGCGAUGAGACCACGCGGGAUCCGUCCUGUGAGGUCAAAGGUUCGGGAUCCUUCGGGACCGAGCGCUGGUGGAGCGGACGACCUCCGAUUAGCUAGAUGGCGGGGUAACGGCCCACCAUGGCGAUGAUCGGUAGCCGGCCUGAGAGGGUGUUCGGCCACACUGGGACUGAGACACUGCCCAGACUCCUACGGGAGGCUGCAGUCGCGAAUCAUUCACAAUGGGCGCAAGCCUGAUGAUGCCACGCCGCGUGCGGGAUGAAGGCCC
rnacentral:rRNA from 1 species